AUGGCGACCAUCCCUACCACCGGCUCCGCCUCCCUCCUCCGGGGCUCCGCCGCCCUCCAGAGGGACGGGAGGUCAACCAGGCCGUCGUCGGCGGCCAGGCCGCUUCCCGGGCGCCGCGCGCGCUCGGCCGUGCGCGCCUCCGCCAAGGACAUCGCCUUCGACCAGGCCUCGCGCUCCGCCCUCCAGGCCGGCGUCGAGAAGCUCGCCGCCGCCGUCGGCGUCACCCUCGGCCCCAGAGGAAGGAAUGUUGUUUUGGAUGAGUUUGGCAGCCCCAAAGUUGUCAAUGACGGAGUUACAAUCGCCCGGGCUAUUGAGCUUGCUGAUCCCAUGGAGAAUGCUGGUGCUGCUCUAAUUCGUGAAGUUGCUAGCAAGACAAAUGACUCGGCGGGUGAUGGGACCACGACCGCAUCUGUUCUGGCUCGCGAGAUCAUAAAAUUGGGGCUGUUGAGUGUUACGUCAGGGGCAAAUCCAGUAUCAAUUAAGAAGGGCAUAGAUAAGACUGUGCAAAGUUUAGUUGAGGAACUUGAGAAGAAGUCACGACCUGUGAAGGGCAGUGGGGACAUUAAAGCUAUUGCUGCUAUAUCUGCUGGAAACGAUGACUUUAUUGGGACCAUGAUCGCGGAGGCUAUUAACAAAGUUGGCCCUGAUGGUGUCCUCUCGAUUGAGUCAUCAUCGUCGUUUGAGACUACUGUUGAAGUUGAAGAAGGAAUGGAGAUUGACAGAGGAUAUAUCUCUCCUCAGUUUGUCACAAACUCUGAGAAGUCAGUUGUUGAGUUUGAAAACGCUCGAGUUCUUGUCACUGAUCAGAAGAUCUCCUCAAUUAAAGAAAUCCUUCCUUUGUUGGAGCAAACGACGCAGUUGAGAGCACCACUUCUCAUAAUUGCGGAGGAUGUAUCUGGUGAGGCUUUGGCAACUCUGGUUGUCAACAAGCUUAGAGGAAUUCUGAAUGUAGCUGCAAUUAAAGCUCCUGGUUUUGGUGAAAGGCGCAAGGCUCUCCUUCAGGACAUUGCCAUUGUUACAGGUGCUGAAUUUCAAGCCAAAGAUCUUGGCCAACUGAUCGAGCAGACAACAGUGGAGCAGCUCGGCAUAGCCAGGAAGGUGACAAUCUCCGGGUCAUCCACAACCAUAAUAGCAGAUGUUGCCACCAAGGAUGAGAUCCAGGCUAGAAUUGCGCAGCUGAAGAGAGAGCUUUCUCAGACAGACUCGACAUAUGAUUCUGAGAAGCUGGCGGAGAGAAUAGCAAAGCUCUCUGGCGGAGUUGCUGUGAUCAAGGUUGGAGCUGCAACAGAAACGGAGCUUGAGGACCGCAAGCUCCGCAUAGAGGAUGCCAAGAAUGCCACUUUUGCAGCCAUUGAGGAAGGUAUAGUACCUGGAGGUGGUGCGGCCUAUGUUCACCUGUCGACUCUCGUACCAGCUAUCAAGGAGAAGCUGGAUGACCCUGAGGAGCGCCUUGGUGCUGAUAUCAUUCAGAAGGCUCUAGUGGCACCCGCAUCGUUGAUCGCGCACAAUGCCGGAGUCGAAGGGGAGGUGAUCGUGGAUAAAAUCAAGGACAGCGAGUGGGAAUUCGGCUACAACGCGAUGACCGACAAGCACGAGAACCUGGUUGAGGCUGGCGUCAUUGACCCAGCGAAGGUGACGAGGUGCGCCCUGCAGAACGCAGCGUCGGUGGCCGGAAUGGUCCUGACCACCCAGGCGAUCGUCGUGGAGAAGCCGAGCAAGAAGGCUCCCGCGCCCGCCGGGAUGCCCCAGGGCAUGAUGUAG
rnacentral:rRNA from 1 species